UAACAGACAAGGGUGUGUCUUACACACACACACACACACACAAUCUGCUCAGUAAGCUACAUCACACACACUCUCUGCCUCACAGCUGCGUGCGACAGAGACAGCAGCGUGCAUGUGGACCGUUGUCUCGCAGUCUGUGUGUAUGACAGUCCAGAGUGUGGAGCAUGCUCUCUCUUUCCUGGCACGUGCGUUCAGAAAUCCUUUAGAACGACCUGUGGAAAAUUGAAGCGCUGAACAUGUUCUUCCUCGUCCACCACUGAAUGAGAUGAGCCUCCAUCUGCUGCAGUUUAUAAAGGUUUGAAAAGUCCAGUCUCACACCCCUCCCCCGCUCUGAUCUUCACUUCACACACAAACCAACACUUCAUGGAAUCCCACUCCUCCCCAUCCUGCUACUCAACAUGCACUUAUGGUCUGUGAAGAGGAUGUGUGCUGGUCUUCAAGAAACAGAAGACUAGGAAAG